rnacentral:rRNA from 1 species
UACGUAGGGGGCAAGCGUUGUCCGGAAUCAUUGGGCGUAAAGAGCAUGUAGGCGGUUCUUUUAAGUUUGGUGUGAAAUCUCCCGCUCAACCGGGAGGGUGCGCCGAAUACUGAGGGACUAGAGUGCGGGAGAGGAAAGUGGAAUUCCUGGUGUAGCGGUGAAAUGCGUAGAUAUCAGGAGGAACACCGGUGGUGUAGACGGCUUUCUGGACCGUAACUGACGCUGAAACACGAAAGCGUGGGUAGCAAACAGG